rnacentral:rRNA from 1 species
UGGCGGCAUGCCUUACACAUGCGAGUGACGGCAGCACGGGUGCUUGCACCUGGUGGCGAGUGGCGAACGGGUGAGUAAUACAUCGGAACGUACCUUAUCGUGGGGGAUAACGCAGCGAAAGCUAUGCUAAUACCGCAUACUCCCUGAGGGGGAAAGCGGGGGAUCGAAAGACCUCGCGCGAUUAGAGCGGCCGAUGCCUGAUUAGCUUGUUGGUGGGGUAAAAGCCCACCAAGGCGACGAUCAGUAGCUGGUCUGAGAGGAUGAUCAGCCACACUGGGACUGAGACACGGCCCAGACUCCUACGGGAGGCAGCAGUGGGGAAUAUUGGACAAUGGGCGCAAGCCUGAUCCAGCCAUGCCGCGUGUGUGAUGAAGGCCUUAGGGUUGUAAAGCACUUUUGUCCGGGAAGAUAAUGACUGUACCGGAAGAAUAAGCCCCGGCUAACUUCGUGCCAGCAGCCCGCGGUAAU